rnacentral:tRNA from 1 species
GCGAGAGUGGCGGAAUAGGCAGACGCACGGGACUUAAAAUCCCGAGGUAGCAAUAUCGUGUGGGUUCAAGUCCCACCUUUCGCACCA